CCAGGUCACAGCACCGCAACCUACUCCAGCUCACUUCCUCCCAGGCAUCCGGUCAAGUCACAACCUGUAGCCUGUUCUUAAGGCGUAGACAUGAACAAGUGGCUCCCAGUCCAUCUCUGCAUUCAUAAAUUGAAGAGGAUGACAUGUUCCCAAGAGAGCCCCCUGGGAUCCUCAGGAGCCCUCCAUCUUAUGGCUCCCCAAAGGCAGACCCUGUCCUUGUAGCACAAGGUCACAGUUGGUUUCCAGGACCUCCUUCACUCUGCCUACCUAACCUUGGCCAUACCAUUUUGCCUCAGCAGAAGAAACAGAAUUACCUCGUCACUUCCUGGUAUCUGGUCUGCCCCCAGAAGACCAGGAGCCACCUCCAGAUACCACUGAUACAUGGACUUGGGAUUAAGUUUUCCAACACAUUUUCCUCUGGGGUGGCGGGACAUUCAGACCAUGGCCAUCUCCUUCUGUCGCUGCAUGGAAUGAAGAGCCUUCACUUCACAGACAUGGAAGAGAAUAGAACAAAAGAUUCCACAGAUCAACUCAGGGUGGUGUCAACAAGAGACAGCAAUGAGGCGGAACACCCGGGUCGCCGCUAACUCUAGCUCUCAGGCUGUGCUGGCCACUGGCUUUCCCUACCAGAGGACGGUUUUGACGGGCAGACACAGUCACUGCACUAGUGGGUGCUCACCGUGACAGAUCAAGACAACUGUGUGGGCUGGUCUGAAGCACAGUCCUCUUCCCCGUGCAUGAAGACCAAGAAGGGUGAUCAUAGAACCGGUUCAGUGGGUGAGAUGUUUAUCUGUAAACACUACAAAGAACAGGGCCCAGAAGGCUUUUCGGGGGAGCCACAAUCAGUUUCUCAGUCUCUGCUGUGUGUUGUGUGUAUUUGUGUGUGUUGUAUAUGUGUCACAUGCAUAUACACAUAGACAUGCUACAUGGAUACAUUAUCAGAUUUUAGUUUUAUGUAUAUAUGUACAAUAUAUGUGCAGUGCCCAAGAAAGCCAGAAGGGGGUGUUUGUGAGCUGCCAUGUAGGUUUUGAGACUCAAACCUGAUUCUCUUAACCACCCUCUUGAGCCCCAGGUAGCACAUUCUAAUCCUAGCAUUUAGCAUCAAAUGUCUCAUAGCUGUGGGUGGGGCUUAAUUAGCCCUCUAAGUCUCACAGGUGAGUGGACUAGAUCCCAGAGUCAGUGCAGCAAGAGUUUUGACAAUUAGCUGACAACCUAAGACAGCCUAAGCAUCCAAUGAUACCCUGGGAAUUCAGAAGAAAGCAUCAGAUCUCCCUGGAACUGGAAGCACUGAUGGUAUGAGCCACCAUAUGGGUCCUGGGAACCAGCCAAGGUCCUCUGCAAGAACCACACAUGCAAAAGCUGUGGAGCCAUCUCUCCAGCUCCAUCUUUAAUUCUUUUGGCACUGAAAAUCUUUACUCCAAGAAAAUCUCACCUAAACUUCCAUCAAAACCAAUGGGAAAUCAGCAAUCGCAGG
rnacentral:lncRNA from 1 species